rnacentral:rRNA from 1 species
GAUGAACGCUGGCGGCGUGCUUAACACAUGCAAGUCGAACGAUGAAGCCCAGCUUGCUGGGUGGAUUAGUGGCGAACGGGUGAGUAACACGUGAGUAACCUGCCCUUAACUCUGGGAUAAGCCUGGGAAACUGGGUCUAAUACCGGAUAGUAGCGUUCACCGCAUGGUGGGUGUUGGAAAGAUUUAUCGGUUUUGGAUGGACUCGCGGCCUAUCAGCUUGUUGGUGAGGUAAUGGCUCACCAAGGCGACGACGGGUAGCCGGCCUGAGAGGGUGACCGGCCACACUGGGACUGAGACACGGCCCAGACUCCUACGGGAGGCAGCAGUGGGGAAUAUUGCACAAUGGGCGCAAGCCUGAUGCAGCGACGCCGCGUGAGGGAUGACGGCCUUCGGGUUGUAAACCUCUUUCAGUAGGGAAGAAGCGAAAGUGACGGUACCUGCAGAAGAAGCACCGGCUAACUACGUG